rnacentral:lncRNA from 10 species
GAUUCCUUCAACCGGUAAAUUGCAGGGAUAGAGAGAGUAUCUGUAGAUUAAGACUUAGAAGAUAUAUCAACCAAGUAACCACUUACAAAACAUAGACUGGAUUUGGAUCCUGAAUUGAACACAUUUUCUUUUAAAGGGUCCUGAGGGCCAAGAUGGCAAACUGGUUCCACCAAGCCAAGCAAGCCCAAACCAUCGCUACCCAGGAUGGAAGCCUCAUUUCGCCAGGGCCACCCAUGAGGCAAGCGAAUGAAAUAUUCACCUGGACUCACCAUCAUCAACACUUCAAGAAAACUGUGGUUUGGAUGAUCAAAACCAUUUACCAUCCCAGCCAGCCUGCCCCCUUCCAAAAGAAAGAGCAUGUUUCAGCACCAACUCCUACAAAGAAGAGUGACUGCUUUAAAACAGGGACGGUCAGAUGGGCUAAUUUCCUGAAUGUUUCCCAAAUAUUUCUUUUCAUUUCUUC